rnacentral:rRNA from 1 species
CCUACGGGUGGCUGCAGUGGGGAAUUGUGGACAAUGGACGCAAGUCUGAUCCAGCCAUGCCGCGUGAGUGAAGAAGGCCUUCGGGUUGUAAAGCUCUUUUGUCAGGGAGCAAAUCCUGCCUGCUAAUACUAGGCGGGGAUGAGAGUACCUGAAGAAUAAGGACCGGCUAACUACGUGCCAGCAGCCGCGGUAAUACGUAGGGUCCAAGCGUUAAUCGGAAUUACUGGGCUGAAAGCGUGCGUCGGUUGUGAAAUCCCCGGGCUCAACCUGGGAACUGCAUUGGAGACUGCGUGGCUAGAGUGUGGCAGAGGGGGGUGGAAUUCCGCGUGUAGCAGUGAAAUGCGUAGAGAUGCGGAGGAACACCAAUGGCGAAGGCAGCCCCCUGGGUUAACACUGACACUCAUGCACGAAAGCGUGGGGAGCAAACAGGAUUAGAUACCCGGGUAGUC